UACGUAGGGGGCAAGCGUUGUCCGGAUUCAUUGGGCGUAAAGAGCGCGUAGGCGGUGCGGUAAGUCACCUGUGAAAUCUCCUGGCUCAACUGGGAGCUUGCAGGCGAAACUGCCGUGCUGGAGUGUGGGAGAGGUGCGUGGAAUUCCUGGUGUAGCGGUGAAAUGCGUAGAUAUCAGGAGGAACACCUGUGGCGAAAGCGGCGCACUGGACCACAACUGACGCUGAGGCGCGAAAGCUAGGGGAGCAAACAGG
rnacentral:rRNA from 1 species